rnacentral:rRNA from 1 species
GAUGAACGCUGGCGGCGUGUCUAAAACAUGCAAGUCGAGCGGUAAGGCCUCUUCGGAGGUACACGAGCGGCGGACGGGUGAGUAACACGUGGGAAUCUACCCCAAACUGAGGGAUAAGCACCGGAAACGGUGUCUAAUACCGCAUAUGGUCUUCGGAUUAAAGCUUCGGCGGUUUGGGAAGAGCCCGCGUAAGAUUAGCUAGUUGGUGAGGUAAAGGCUUACCAAGGCGACGAUCUUUAGCUGGUUUGAGAGGAUGAUCAGCCACACUGGAACUGAGACACGGUCCAGACUCCUACGGGAGGCAGCAGUUAGGAAUUUUCCACAAUGGGCGAAAGCCUGAUGGAGCAACGCCGCGUGCAGGAUGAAGGUUUUCGGAUUGUAAACUGCUUUUAUGUGCGAAGAAUAUGACGGUAACACAUGAAUAAGGAUCGGCUAACUCCGUGCCAGCAGCCGCCGUAA